rnacentral:rRNA from 1 species
UACGGGGGGGGCAAGCGUUGUUCGGAAUUACUGGGCGUAAAGGGCGCGUAGGCGGGAUGGCAAGUCGGUCGUGAAAUCCCUCGGCUCAACCGAGGAACGUCGAUCGAUACUGCUGUUCUUGAGGAUUGCAGAGGAGACUGGAAUUCCCGGUGUAGCGGUGAAAUGCGUAGAUAUGGGGGAGGAACACCGGUGGCGAAGGCGGCCACCUGGACGGUAACUGACGCUGAGACGCGAAAGCGUGGGGAGCAAACAGG